ACCAUAUUUUACAAAAGACAUCUUGUGGCCAAACAUUUUUCAAAACAGAAAAGGGAAUUUGAAAUAAAUGGAAAUGAAAAAGGAACCUAAAACUAAUGGGCCACUGGACCAUAUGUGGCCACAGUGCCUUCGGCCCAGCCCACUGCCACCUCUCCUCCCACCUCCCGCUACAGGAGACAGGGGAAGGGCGUGGCAGCCAUCCAGGCCACCAUGGCCGGGACUGUCGACGUGCCGGCCAUCCCGCGGCCUCCCCGAUGCCUACAAGACCUGCCUCGCGGCGCCCCAAACCCUAAUCCCCUCAUUCUUCUUCCUCGUCUCUCUCCAUCGAUCUGAACCACGCCUGAGCUCCGCCGUCGACAUGUUGCCGUCGAUGCCGCGGCCACCGUGCUCCCCGCGUCGUGAGGAGAUGUCCAAGAGGACCGCCAGCGACGACUCCUUCUUCUCCUAGCACCAGUACAAGCCGGGCCACACCGUACUCUCGGCAUCGAGCCAUUCCUCGCCUGCGGCCGUCGCAUCUUGUCGCCGGUUUCCACUGCUCCGGGCCACCCCCGACCUCCCAACCUCGUCCACAAGCACCAGGGGUAAUGAUCCGUUUUGGAGCAAGAAACUUCCACAGGAGAAGCCAGAAAAAGCAGAUAAACCGAAACGACCAACCCGGCAAAAGACUAAAGCUGUGAAGAAGACUACCCACAGGAAAAGAACCACUGCAUCCUCUGAUCCAGCCGCUGAUGACGAUGAUGAUGCCGAAGCCAGUCAUGCUAAUGUUGCAGAGGUAAUUAUUCUUUCCUCC